GUCCACGCCGUAACGAUGGAAGCUAGCCGUUGGUGGGUUUACUCAUCAGUGGCGCAGCUAACGCAUUAAGCUUCCCGCCUGGGAGUACGGUCGCAAGAUUAAACUCAAAGGAAUUGACGGGGCCCGCACAAGCGGUGGAGCAUGUGGUUCAAUUCGAAGCAACGCGAAGAACCUUACCAGCCUUUGACAUGCCUCGUAUGGUCGCCAGAGAUGGCUUCCUUCCCGCAAGGGCGAGUGCACAGGUGCUGCAUGGCUGUCGU
rnacentral:rRNA from 1 species